CCAUCCCCCUAGUUAUGGUAGAUCCACAGCGUUCGGUGUCUUGGUCUAGUAGAACCAGACAUUGGCCAAUACUGUGCAAUGGCUCCAACAGAGCCCCAGAUUAGCCCCCCAGUGGCAGGGGCAAAAGACCAAACAGAAUGGGUGAAGAGAGUGAAUAAGGGACGUUAUUGAUCUUUGAGGAGCUCAGACUCUCCAUGAUGAUGCUGUCAUCAUAACAAUGACGAUAGCAAAUAAAGCUUCGACGGGACCUCCAUUCCUUGGGUAUGGAAUGCC
rnacentral:lncRNA from 1 species